GCAGACAGAGUGAAGUGACUUGUCCAGGAUCCCAAGCUGAUCCAGUGGACCAUGGCCUCCCAGCUGUUUUACAAACAAGACGCUCUAUCCCUCAGCUCUGGGCAUUUCUCUGAUUGUCCCCCAGGCCUGGAAUAUUCUUUCCUUCUCAUCUCCAUCUAUUGACAUCCCCCCUUCCUUUAAGACCCAACUAAAACCUUACCUUCUCCAGGAAGCCUUCCCUAACUAUUCUUAAUUCCAGUGCUUUCCUUCUGUUAUUUCCUAUUUAUUCUGUAUCUAGCUUGCUUUGUCUAUAUUUCUUUACAUUGUCUCCCCUAUUAGAUUGUAAACUUUUUGAUGACAGGGAUUGUACUUGGUACAAAAUGGGCACUUAUGUUUACUGAAGGACAAAUGGAUUUUAUUCUUAUUAUCCCCAGGAACAAGUACAGUAUACAGCAGUCACUUAAUAAAGGCUUGUUGAUUGGUUGAUGUA